rnacentral:rRNA from 1 species
UACGGAGGGGGCUAGCGUUGUUCGGAAUUACUGGGCGUAAAGCGCACGUAGGCGGCUUUGCAAGUCAGAGGUGAAAGCCCGGGGCUCAACCCCGGAAUUGCCUUUGAGACUGCAUCGCUAGAAUUGUGGAGAGGUAAGUGGAAUUCCGAGUGUAGAGGUGAAAUUCGUAGAUAUUCGGAAGAACACCAGUGGCGAAGGCGACUUACUGGACACAUAUUGACGCUGAGGUGCGAAAGCGUGGGGGAGCAAACAGG